GUGGAAGCAUUUCCGUCAUUCUGAGACAGUUGGGCUGAGGCGGUUGGUCGCCUCUCUCUCUCUCUCUCUCUGUUCCUCAUCUACAUUUUGAUUGGUUUAUUUUUGUAUUGUUUUCUUUCAGUUUCCGAUAGGUGGAGAACAUUCUGCUAAUAGCUUUUCUUCCAGUCCAUUUGUGGCUUGUUAAAGGUGUCUGGAACUGGAUUACAGUUUCUUCUGAUUGAACGCAGCCUUUGAAUACUGCCUGGCCUAUCGCGAAUACAUCCCUGCCUUGGACAAGACGCAGCUGAAUCUCUAAGUGAUGCUACUGCCACUACCACCCCAGAGCUCCAAACCUGUGCCUAAGAAAUCUCAGUCCAGCAAAAUUGUGCCCAGUCAUCAUG
rnacentral:lncRNA from 1 species